ensembl:snRNA U6 U6 spliceosomal RNA
GUGCUCAAUUCAGCAGCACAAAUACUAAAAUUGUAAUGAUACAGAGAAGAUCAGCACAGCCAAAAUAUUAUUAACUCUAUCACUAAAUAUGUUAUUUACCUUUUU